rnacentral:rRNA from 1 species
UGGGGAAUAUUGCACAAUGGGCGAAAGCCUGAUGCAGCGACGCCGCGUGCGGGAUGAAGGCCUUCGGGUUGUAAACCGCUUUUAAUUGGGAGCAAGCGAGAGUGAGUGUACCUUUUGAAUAAGCACCGGCUAACUACGUGCCAGCAGCCGCGGUAAUACGUAGGGUGCAAGCGUUAUCCGGAAUUAUUGGGCGUAAAGAGCUCGUAGGCGGUUUGUCACGCCUGGUGUGAAAGUCCAUCGCUUAACGGUGGAUCUGCGCCGGGUACGGGCAGGCUAGAGUGCAGUAGGGGAGAUUGGAAUUCCCGGUGUAACGGUGGAAUGUGUAGAUAUCGGGAAGAACACCAAUGGCGAAGGCAGAUCUCUGGGCUGUUACUGACGCUGAGGAGCGAAAGCAUGGGGAGCGAACAGGAUUAGAUACCCUGGUAGUCCAUGCCGUAAACGGUGGAUGCUGGAUGUGGGGCCCUUCCACGGGCUCCGUG